rnacentral:rRNA from 1 species
UGGGGAAUUUUGGACAAUGGGGAAACCCUGAUCCAGCCAUCCCGCGUGUGCGAUGAAGGCCUUCGGGUUGUAAAGCACUUUUGGCAGGAAAGAAACGUCGCGGGUUAAUACCCCGCGAAACUGACGGUACCUGCAGAAUAAGCACCGGCUAACUACGUGCCAGCAGCCGCGGUAAUACGUAGGGUGCAAGCGUUAAUCGGAAUUACUGGGCGUAAAGCGUGCGCAGGCGGUUCGGAAAGAAAGAUGUGAAAUCCCAGAGCUUAACUUUGGAACUGCAUUUUUUAACUACCGGGCUAGAGUGUGUCAGAGGGAGGUGGAAUUCCGCGUGUAGCAGUGAAAUGCGUAGAUAUGCGGAGGAACACCGAUGGCGAAGGCAGCCUCCUGGGAUAACACUGACGCUCAUGCACGAAAGCGUGGGGAGCAAACAGGAUUAGAUACCCUGGUAGUCCACGCCCUAAACGAUGUCAACUAGCCUGUUGGGGCCUUCGGGCCUUGGUAGCGCAGCUAACGCGUGAAGUUGACCGCCUGGGGAGUACGGUCGCAAGAUU